UGCCUCAGCUUCACAAGAGUCACUGGGAUUACAGGCUCGGGCCACCAUGCCAGUGUUGCUCAAGUUCAAGCAUUUUACAAUGGUUGCCUUGAAGUCUUUAUCAGAUAAUCUCAACACUUGUGUCAUCUCAGCUUUGGCUUGUUUUGUUUGUCUUUUCCCAUGCAAGUUGAAAUUUUCACGGUUCUUUAUAUGCAGGGAAAUUUUGGAUUUGCAUCCUGGACAUUUUGAAUACUCUGGGUCUUGUUUUGAUCCUAUGAAGAAUGUUGAUAUUUUUGUUUUAACAUUUAAUUAGCAAGAUUAGGUUCAGGCUACAAGAACCUACCUACUUAUGGACUGUAGUUUUAAUGUUAGCUCAGUUUUCAAAGUCUCUUCAGAUCUUCCCCAGGUGUAUGCCAUUCAAUGGUCAGACUGUGACCUGAGUGAUUAGCUCAAUUUUCAAAAUCCUUUGUAUACGACUCAGGGUUAGAUCUAUGCAUGCCUCACUCAGGGAUGAGUUCUGGAGUUUAUAAACAACUUUAUGGGAUCACUUUCCUGAGCUCCUUCUUCUCUGUGAUCUCCUGGAUGCUUCCCAGUUCUCUGGGACUCCCUGUUUUGGCCAUCUAGCCAGAAACUUUAGGGUUCAGUUACCCUGUUCUGCCAUACGCUUCCAAGUUUAGGCCCAAGUCUGGGCUCAGAAGUGAGAAGAGAGGCAAUAAACAACAGGGAUUGUCCCUACCCUCUUGGGAUCGGGACUCUGAUGAACAGAGAAAACAAUUUCCCUUCCUCAGAGUUCUGGCUUCUGCAGGCCACUAUGCGUAGCCAUAGCCAUUUCUGUCAUGGGAUUGUCUGUGGCUGUUUACUUUUCAGAGUCCUCAAGUAGCUGUCUCUGCAUUUUGUUUAGUUUUUAUAGUAGUAUUACCCAGAACUGAAGUAUUGAAUAAUGAAUGAAAUUAUCAAAUUAAAUAUCACAACUCAUAAAACAAGAAUUAAAAGACCAGUAAUGAAAAUGAUAAGAGAUUAGGAGGGUAGAUUCAAAAGAUCUAGCAGACAAUAAUAGUUCCAGAGGGAGAACAAAACAAAUAGUAAUAAAGAAAAAGAAUUGCAAAAGAUCUGGAUUCAUAGACUCAAAGGGCUCACUGAAGUCCAGACAAGAUUGAUAAAAAAGACAUAAAAG
rnacentral:lncRNA from 10 species